rnacentral:misc_RNA from 1 species
GGACCCAUGUACCCUAAACUAAAAGGAAUGUUGCCAGUAAACUUAUUAUUAGCAAAAUUAAUGACUGAAGCAGGGGAAUUCCCUAAACUCUGAGGUAGUUCACCAUCAAACUGGUUAUUAUUAAGAAAAAUAGCAUCAAGUUUUCUGUUGAACAGAUCCUCGGGAAUUGGGCCUGUGAAACUGUUGAAUCUGAGAUCUAAAUAAAGAAGAUUUGGGAUGAAUAGUACUGUAGUAGGGAAUGGACCUGAGAAAUGGUUGUUACUAAGGUCUAAUUCAACGAGUGAAGACAGAUCUCUGAAUGUUUGUGGAAUUAUACCUGAAAAUCUGUUGGUAUUGAGAUGAAUGAGAGACACAUCUGUUAAAUAAGAUAGUUCUUUUACUAGAGUGCCUUGAAGAUUUGCAUGAUUGAGAUCUAUACCUGUAACAACUGGGUCUGUUGGGUUGCCCAUGUAAUCUUGAGAGUUUGAGCAGAAAAUUCCUUUGUAACUACACACAUUUGGACCCACCCAAUUCUUCAAAAUCCCCGAUGGAUCAUCAGUAAUUGCAGAUUUCCAUGCUUGAAGAGCAGUGUAUGCUGAACUUUGACUUGGGACAGCUCCUGGGUUUGGGCUGUUGAUCCCUCCACCAAACCAAACACCUCCAGGUCCAACACCAACACCAACGCCAACGCCAACACCAACACCAACACCAA